UGAGAGUCCCUCUCAGGCGCUAAAUCUGAAGAGCACUUCAAAGAGGGAUCCACAACACAACACACAUGCACACUCACAAACUAAAAUAUUGAGAUUUUGUAAAAGACAGACUCAACUUUGGGGUGGCAGAAAACUUAAAUCAGUGUGCCAUAAACAAGAAGACACGCGGCGGACUGCGCGCGAGCGAGGAGUCGCAUCGAUCACGCAGAAUGCUGCGAGGCUUCACCUUCGCACUGAUCGGACUCGUUCAGCUCGUUUCAUCGAUCGAUUGAACAGUCAGUCACUCGGACACUACUCUCCAAUAAAAACCUAUUUUAAAAGCAGCGUUUCCUGUCCCGAGCACAUUUAUCAGUAUCACUGACGCCUCCGGGACCCUCUCCAGCCGUGCCGUCAUAAACCCCGCAGGUUACCGUCACUUUUCAACAUGAUCAACACCUUUUGCCAAGGGUAGUUCAGAGCAAUGGCACUUUCUUGUAAACCCUGUGAACUGGAUAUUUGCUUCUCCCACCUCAAGUAAGAGUCAAAGACCAUUUUCUGUAGUCAAGAUGCAGAUCCUUUCAGCUGUUUUGCUCCUUUUCUGUUUACACAAGAACCUGCUGCAGCCCGAGUCUUCACAUCAAGCCCUUGCUGGAUUUGCCAUGUGAGGGGAGAACGUAUAUCAGGCUCUCAGAAUUGGGCUGAGGACACCAAAUGAGAGGAAAAAGGAGUGUCAGAAUGGAUGUGUUUGUAGGUAAUCCAGAAAUUCCUGGGAGAGAGAUUACAUGAGGGUUUCAGCGAAUACGUCUGUAAAUAUGAGCGUUUUGCUCUAGAUCGGCAUUAUCAGUCAUUGUUGCUUUCUAGAAGCCUGCCUCAGUAAUCCCAGUGUUAUCUGUGACAUUUACUGCUAUAAGCAGUGAUGUUGGGUAGUGUGUGGUUUCUCAUUUUUGCUUAUGUCAUGUGGAAAAACAUUCAAGAUCAGGUGCCGUUUACAUUACCAUCAUUUUUUUUGUUUGCUUUGUUGUUGUUUUUAUAAAUGAUGUAGAUACAGUAUGUUUAUUGUGAAUGAAUAGACAUGGCAGCCAUGUGGGAUUCAAUUA